rnacentral:rRNA from 1 species
UACCUGUUUGAUCCUGCCACUAGUAUUAUGCUUCUCUAAAAGAUCACGAAGUGCUUGUGUAAGUAAUG